UACGUAGGGUGCAAGCGUUAAUCGGAAUUACUGGGCGUAAAGCGUGCGCAGGCGGUUGUGCAAGACCGAUGUGAAAUCCCCGGGCUCAACCUGGGAACUGCCUUUGUGACUGCAUAGCUAGAGUACGGCAGAGGGGGAUGGAAUUCCGCGUGUAGCAGUGAAAUGCGUAGAUAUGCGGAGGAACACCGAUGGCGAAGGCAAUCCCCUGGGCCUGUACUGACGCUCAUGCACGAAAGCGUGGGGAGCAAACAGG
rnacentral:rRNA from 1 species